rnacentral:rRNA from 1 species
CUGAUGGCGAGUGGCGAACGGGUGAGUAAUGCAUCGGAACGUGCCCAAUCGUGGGGGAUAACGCAGCGAAAGCUGUGCUAAUACCGCAUACGAUCUACGGAUGAAAGCGGGGGAUCUUCGGACCUCGCGCUAUUGGAAGAGCUUGCGUUAGAUUAGCUAGUUGGUGGGGUAAAGGCUCACCAAGGCGACGAUCUAUAGCUGGUCUGAGAGGACGAUCAGCCACACUGGAACUGAGACACGGUCCAGACUCC